ensembl:misc_RNA 7SK 7SK RNA
GGAUGUGAGGGCCACACACAUAGCUGUAACACCUUUCACCUCAUUGACUGCCAGGACUGAUUUGGUUGGUCUGAUUGAAUAGAUAGGUGUCCCCUUCCUCCCUUGUAGUGCCUCUCUCUGGAAGGUGGUUGCUCAGUUGGUCAAAGAGGAUGACUUUUCCCUUAAUAGAGGAAGACCAGCCUUUGAUCAGGGGCACGCAGGUAACUACCACCUCUGUUAGAACCUCCAAACAAGCACUCAAGAGUCUGCCUAUACAUUUGAAAGAGAACAGACUUUGCCUCUAGGUUGUAAGUGGUAUGAUAGCACAUACCU